ensembl:snRNA U6 U6 spliceosomal RNA
GUGCUCGCUUUGGCAGCACAUAUACUAAAAUUGGAAUGAUACAGAGAAGAUCAGCAUGGCCCGUGCGCUAGGAUGACACACAAAUUUGUGAAGCAUUCCAUAUUUCA